rnacentral:rRNA from 1 species
AUUGAACGCUCGCGGCAUGCUUUACACAUGCAAGUCGAACGGCAGCGCGGGCUUCGGCCUGGCGGCGAGUGGCGAACGGGUGAGUAAUACAUCGGAACGUGCCCAGUAGUGGGGGAUAGCUCGGCGAAAGCCGGAUUAAUACCGCAUACGACCUGAGGGUGAAAGCGGGGGAUCUUCGGACCUCGCGCUAUUGGAGCGGCCGAUGGCAGAUUAGCUAGUUGGUGGGGUAAAGGCCUACCAAGGCGACGAUCUGUAGCUGGUCUGAGAGGACGACCAGCCACACUGGGACUGAGACACGGCCCAGACUCCUACGGGAGGCAGCAGUGGGGAAUUUUGGACAAUGGGCGAAAGCCUGAUCCAGCAAUGCCGCGUGUGUGAUGAAGGCCUUCGGGUUGUAAAGCACUUUUGGCGGGAACGAAAAGGACUGUGCCAAUACCACGGUUCGAUGACGGUACCCGCAGAAUAAGCACCGGCUAACUACGUG